rnacentral:ncRNA from 4 species
AAGGUAGCCAAAUGCCUCGUCAU